CUGGCCAUGACCUUGAGGGGCCUCCAGUUCUGCCCAUGAGGAGGAGGGUCACAGCCCUUAGAUCCAGCCAACCCAACAAGAACCUGUUCUCCUCCUCUAGGGACCCCAUGCUCCAGCCUCGCCUGCCUGACUUUUCCCCAACCAAGUGCUCACAGUCCUACCUCCCUUCCUUUGCUCAUGCUGUUCCCUUCUCCAGGUUGCCUUUCCCCAUCCCCUCAGCAUGCCAAACAGCAAGUGAGAGCUUUGUUCUCUACAACUUUUAGAGUCCAGAUACAUCUCUCCCCCUACUCCCACUAGGCUAUGAGACCCCAACAGAAGGCCCAACCCUGACCCAUCUCUAACCCCUCCAUCCCUCCCAUGGUCCAGCGGCCCCCGGACUCUCUCAGAGGCCCAAGGUCUUGGCCUUGGCUGGCCUCACAGCCACUUUCCACAGUGGGACCUGGAGGAAUCCAGACCCUUCCUGUUAGUCCCUUACCGUGGUCAGGCCUGAAGGGGGCCAGUCCAAUCCCCUCAUUUCACAGAUGCAGAAACUGAGGCCCAGGCCUCCCCAAUGCCCACACGGGAGGAAGGGAAAGAGGCAGACAGGCAGCUCUGGAGGAGCACCCCAGCUCCAAAGGUUUGACGGCGGGGAGAGACCCAUACAUCUCUUCCGGGGCCGCUAAGAACUCGUAGCGCGUGCGCGUUACGGUAAGUCCGCACGCACAGAUUCACCUGUGCGGUUCCUCCCAGCCUGCGAGGGCGGAGAUAGCACGAAGCAAGCCAUUCAUUGGAG
rnacentral:lncRNA from 1 species